UCCUGACCUCAGGUGAUCUACCCGACUCGACCUCCCAAAUUUCUGGGAUUACAGCCGUGAACCACCGCACCUGGCUGAGACUUUCAAUUGUUGAUAAUGUUCCACAGUCAAAACUGGCUUGAGCUACAAAUGUAACUCAUCUAACAAUUUCAAAGGACAAACACCAUGUGGAAACUGCCAAGGCAUGGAGCUUGCACCCUCUGAAGCAGUGGUAUGAGUUGACCUUGGACCCUUUUACCCAUGGAUGGACCUGAAGCAACUGAGACACAUGGCACCAUGUCCUGAAGAUGCACAGAGCAAGAGUUCCUGGGCCCAGUCCAUGAAAGCAUUUUUUUUCCUCCUAGGCCUCUAGGGCUGUGAUAGGAGGGGCUGCAAUGAAGGUCUCUGAUAUGUCCUGAAGACAUUUUUUCCAUGUUGUUGGUGAAUAACAUUCGACUCCUCAUUGCUUAUGCAAAUUUCUUAAAUUUCUCCUCAGAAAAUGGGUUUUUCUUUUCUAUCACAUCAUCAGACUGUAAAUUUUCCAAGCUUUUAUGCUCUGUUUCAUCUUGAAGGCUUUGCAACUUAGAAAUUUCUUCCACCACAUACUCUAAGUAAUCUGCCUCAAGUUCAAAGUUCCACAGAUCUCUAGGGCAGGGGCAAAAUGCUGCCAGUCUCUUUGCAUAACAAGAGUGACUUUCACUUGAUUUCACAACAAGUUUCUCAUCUCCAUCUGAGACCGUAUCAGCCUGUACUUCAUUGUCCAUAUGACUUUCAACAUUUUGGACAAAGCCAUUUAACAAGUCUCAAGAAAGUUCCAAACUGCCUCACAUCUCUCUGUCUCCUGAGCCCUCCAAGUCUUUAGGAAGUUUUGAACUUUCCCACGUUGUUCUGUCUUCUUCUGAGCCCUCCAAACUGUUCCAACCUCUGCUUGUUACCCAGUUCUGAAGUAGCUUCCAUAUUUGGAGCUACUUUUAAAGCAGUACCCCACUCAUGAUACCAAUUUUCUGUAUUAGUCUGUUCUCAGGCUACUGUGAAGAAAUACCUGAGAAUGGGUAAUUUAUAAAGAAAAGAGCCUUAAUUGACUCACAAUCCUGCAGGGCUGGGAAGGCCUCAGGAAGCUUACAAUCAUGGCAGGAGAAGCAAACACUUCCUCCUUCACAUGGCAGUAGCAAAGCAGAGCACAAAGUGAAGAGUGUGGGUGGAAGCCCUUUAUACAUAAGAUCUCAUAACUCACUCACUAUUAUGAGAAUAUCAUAGAGAUAACCACCCCCAUGAUUCAAUUACCUCCCACCAGGUCUCUCUCACAACACAUGGGGAUCAUAGGAACUACAUUCAAGAUGAUAUUUGGGUGAGGACACAGCCAAAUCAUAUCAUACUUCAUUUUUCCA
rnacentral:lncRNA from 10 species